GAAAAAUCCGAUCUUUAUGUCUCCGAUCAAAUCUUCAUGCUUUUUAGACGAAACCCACUAAAGGAAAAAUCUGAGUGACGACAAUGAGGUUGAGAGACAGAGAGAGAGAAGAAUACCAGUGAGGUUGAAGAAGGAAGCACCAUUAACAUAUAAAAUCACCAAUCUGAAAAAAGGUGAUGAUGAUGAUGAUGAAUGGUAG